UACGGAGGGAGCUAGCGUUGUUCGGAAUUACUGGGCGUAAAGCGCACGUAGGCGGCUUUGCAAGUUAGAGGUGAAAGCCUGGGGCUCAACUCCAGAACUGCCUUUAAAAACUGCAUCGCUUGAAUCCAGGAGAGGUGAGUGGAAUUCCGAGUGUAGAGGUGAAAUUCGUAGAUAUUCGGAAGAACACCAGUGGCGAAGGCGGCUCACUGGACUGGUAUUGACGCUGAGGUGCGAAAGCGUGGGGAGCAAACAGG
rnacentral:rRNA from 1 species